rnacentral:lncRNA from 10 species
CACACUAGCUCCAGAGAGAUUGACGGAUUCAUUGAAUAUCAACAGGAAGAAACGGUGGGAAAAGAAUGACAUCACGUUGACAAGCGCCCAUGUCCCCUCGCCCCUGAGUCCAGCUGGUGAAGCACCAUGCUUUGGCUUUCCCUCCCGCGGAGCGGUGCCGUCCUCCCUGGGUCUGGUCGGAUCUUCGGGAAGCUGGAUCCAGGAAAGCAUUCCAGGAGUGGCAUUGAACCGUCAGGGACCCCUGCUCUGGGGCUCUCACAGACUCUGGGCCUUGGAUGGAGAAACAGCCUGGAAAACAGAAUCCCAAGAUACAGCUCAUUGCACCGGCACGAACCCCUGCUCUGGGGCUCUCACGGACUCUGGGCCUUGGAUGGAGAAACAGCCUGGAAAACAAAAUCCCAAGAUACAGCUCCUGUUGCCUGAGCCAGUUUGGUGUUUAAGAGUCCCGAGUGUGUCUCUAGCACACCCGAUUCCUCAUCCCCAUCUCCCUCUCAGUCCAUUCCCCCACCAGCUUCUAGACCUGCUUAGCAUGUGACACCAUGGUCUCCUACCACCUUCUUUCCUUGUCCUCUCAAUGCUGUUUUCAUCGGAGCCAAAUAUUUAACAACCAGCCCUCUGGGGGAAAAAAUCUCUGGUUUAGGAGCUGGGCACGGUGGCUCACACUUGUAAUCCCAGCACUUUGGGAAGCCAAGGUGGGCAGAUCACCUGAGGUCAGGAGUUCGAGACCUGCAUGGCCAACAUGGUGAAACCCAGUCUUUACUAAAAAUACAAAAAUUAGCUGGGCGUGGUGGCAGUCACCUGUAGUCUCAGCUAUGCGGGAGGCUGAAGCAUGAAAAUUGCUUGAACCCGGGAGGCGGAGGUUGCAGUGAGCUGAGAUCGCACCACUGCACUCCAGCCUAGGCAACAGAGUGAGACUCUUGUCUAGAAAAAGAAAAAGAAAAAAAAUCUGGUUUUAAUAUUUGCCAAAUUCCAUAGUGUAAAUACUCCCACGGUGGCAGAUGUCAGGUAAUCCAUGUGAUGUCACUGGACACAGAGCUGGGAAAAGAUGUCCCAAGCCAGCUCCUGUGAGCCAGCCCCAGCACACUGCGGGGGUACCCAGGGUUCCCUCUCCAGCCUUCAUCUUGUCUCACCUGACAAGCCUCCAUGGAGGGAGUCUCUCCAUUUCCAUGGCUUUAAUGAUUACCUGUUUCCUGAUGAUUCCCAAAUCCAUAUUUGCAGCUCAGACUCCCCUUAGCUAGCCCACCAUUUACAAAGACACACUGGAUGUCUCCACCC